rnacentral:rRNA from 1 species
ACUUUACAAUGCGGGAAACCGCGAUAAGGGGAUACUGAGUGCCAGCAUCUUAUGUUGGCUGUCCGCAUGUAUAAAUAGCAUGUGUUAGCAAGGGCCGGGCAAGACCGGUGCCAGCCGCCGCGGUAACACCGGCGGCCCGAGUGGUGGCCACUAUUAUUGGGUCUAAAGGGUCCGUAGCCGGUUCGAUCAGUCUUCCGGGAAAUCUGACAGCUCAACUGUUAGGCUUCCGGGGGAUACUGUCGGACUUGGGACCGGGAGAGGUAAGAGGUACUACAGGGGUAGGAGUGAAAUCUUGUAAUCCUUGUGGGACCACCAGUGGCGAAGGCGUCUUACCAGAACGGGUCCGACGGUGAGGGACGAAAGCUGGGGGCACGAACCGGAUUAGAUACCCGGGUAGUCCCAGCCGUAAACGAUGCUCGCUAGGUGUCUGGGACGGUGCGACCGUUUCAGGUGCCGCAGGGAAGCCGUGAAGCGAGCCACCUGGGAAGUACGGCCGCAAGGCUGAAACUUAA